AGAGUUUGAUCCUGGCUCAGGAUGAACGCUGGCGGCGUGCCUAACACAUGCAAGUCGAGCGAUUUACUUCGGUAAAGAGCGGCGGACGGGUGAGUAACGCGUGGGUAACCUGCCCUGUACACACGGAUAACAUACUGAAAGGUAUGCUAAUACGAGAUAAUAUGCUUUUAUCGCAUGGUAGAAGUAUCAAAGCUUUUGCGGUACAGGAUGGACCCGCGUCUGAUUAGCUAGUUGGUAAGGUAACGGCUUACCAAGGCGACGAUCAGUAGCCGACCUGAGAGGGUGAUCGGCCACAUUGGAACUGAGACACGGUCCAAACUCCUACGGGAGGCAGCAGUGGGGAAUAUUGCACAAUGGGCGAAAGCCUGAUGCAGCAACGCCGCGUGAGCGAUGAAGGCCUUCGGGUCGUAAAGCUCUGUCCUCAAGGAAGAUAAUGACGGUACUUGAGGAGGAAGCCCCGG
rnacentral:rRNA from 1 species